AACGUAGGUGGCGAGCGUUAUCCGGAUUUACUGGGCGUAAAGGGUGUGCAGGCUGCCCCGCAAGUGGUGUAUGAAAGGGCUCGGCUCAACCGGGCUAGGUUAUGCCAGACUGAGGGGCUAGAGAGCGAGAGCGGGACGUGGAAUUCCGGGUGUAGUGGUGAAAUGCGUAGAGAUCCGGAGGAACCCCAGAGGCGAAGGCGGCGUCCUGGCUCGCAUCUGACGCUCAGACACGACAGCAUGGGGAGCGAACGGG
rnacentral:rRNA from 1 species